rnacentral:lncRNA from 10 species
UGAAAGCCCAGAGAUGUGAUGAUUUUUAAGAGUUGAACUGAGCUGCAAGCUUGUGGAUCAUGUAAGUGCUAACAGAGGCAGACGGAGAAGGAAGAUCUGUCAUGAAGUGCUACGGUGGGAGGUGCGUCAGCUUGGGGUGGAGGGGUCCCAGGUGGCCCCAGGAGAAGAGGCCUCUGAACAAAGAAGACAAUGCUUGGGUUACGGUGGAAGGGACACGGAAGAACAAAUUAGAGACUUGGCGAGGAAAAAGGAUCCAGUUAGCAACAGAGGGGUCUGGAAUGCUGGAAGGAGCCAAGAGCAGAUGCCAUCUUGGUGAUGUGUUUCAUCUUCAGGACCUGAGACCCAUCUGGUCAAAUAUUUGUGUGUAUAUGCAAAAUUUUAGGUCAUUUGUUAAAAGGAGCUCAUGAAUACAUGUCCUUGACUUCCCAGAGAUGGAAAAAACACUUCUCUCCGCCAAAGAACUUCCAAAUAGUGCUUCUAGCCUAUGCUCCUCAUCAGUGUCCAUGUCUCUCAGAUGUCUCUAGUUUUGGUUGAGGAAUGAGGAAAUGUGGUUGCCUCCUUUUAUUGGCUGAUUCGUCUGCUGAGCUCCUAACUUCUUAGCUAAUCUAGGUGAAACCAACCCUUGUCCUGGACCCUGGGCUUUUGUGGAGGACUGUCUUACUGUUCACAAAUACUCCGCCUUUUCCAUGAGAAGCUAAUUUAUCCCUGCCUGUUGAAAUUGGGCAUGGACAAUGACUUGCUUGGUUGUCUAAUAAAAUGUGAGCAGAAA